UGUAGAUUUGCUGCUGUGCUUGGGAUCAUUCUCCUGCUGCAUGACUUGGUUUCAGCCAAGUUUUAGCUAUCGGACUGAUGGAUUUACAUUUGACUCUAGAAUACUUUGAUAUGCAGAGGAUUUCAUUAUGAUUGACGGCAAGGUGUCCAGGUCCUGUGGCUGCAGAAGAACCCCAAAUCAUUAACCCUCCACCCCUGCGGCUAAUAGUUGAUAUGAGAGAGAAGAGCCUUCCAUUCAAGCCAUACUUGUUCUUUUUCUAAUUUUACUGUUAACUGUGACCUAAGAUGUGGUUCGUGGACGUUUUGCAUUGGAUAGUCUGACCUUGAGGCUGAUUUUGCUGGGACAUCCACUCCUGGGGAGAUUGUGUCAUUUAGUUAAUGUAGACUUAAAUACUCCAGACCAGCAAACUGCCCAAACUUCUGGGUUUAUAGAGGUUAGUCAUUUGAGUGGUGGCUGUUACUUUUCCUCUUAAUUCUUGUGGAAGCAGUAAGAGUGUCCUUAGCUUUUCACGGGACUACACAGAGUCUUGUGAAAACUUUCUUCCUCACAUGAAUAUAUAUGAUUUCCCACCAAUGCUGCAUAAGCUAGAGUUUAGCUUUUACCAACCUACAUAAACUUCUGUUCA
ensembl:lncRNA